rfam:Cucumis melo, WGS project CAJI01000000 data, contig: 27195
UUAUUUGUUGGUGCAGCACCAUCAAGAUUCACAAAGGCUUUAAUUAUUAUUUACGUUUAAAUUCUCUUUCCUUAAUUUUAUUCAAAUUUAAAAAAGAAAAGAAAGAAAAAAGAAAAAAGCCUUUUCCUUUGGGAAUCUUGAUGAUGCUGCAUCGUCAAAUAC